UGUUUGAGUUUAUUUAAUAUC
rnacentral:misc_RNA from 1 species